CUCAAAUUCUCAAGAGUUCUGCCUCUACCUCUUCUGCCUCCCAAAGGCUGGGAUUAAAGGUGUGUGCCACCACGCCAGGCCGAGCUUUUAAAAAUAUAUGUCUAGAGUAAUACACAUAUAAUAAUUCUCAUUUUAUGUAAAGGACAUUUCCUAAGGGGAAAACCCCGCCCUCCGGGCUUAAGCAUUGAAAACAACAGACUUUUGCCCACACAGAACUGAGCCUAGUUGGGGAGGGUGCCCCCUGGUGGUCCGAAUUGGGAAAACAGCUCUCCCAGUGUGCGUACAAAAGAGAAUUUCAAAGUGUCAGCCGCAGGGCCGAUUAGGCCGGGAUGGGAGUGGGUAUCCUGUGUAAUUUAGAAUAGCUUCCAGGGAAUCCUAAAAGGCCUCUUCUCAUCGAAGGCUGAAGAGCUAACUCCCUUAGACAAGCUUCAGCAUGUUUGCCAACCUUGGAAUUAAAAUUUUGGACUCCUUUUCUUUGGCAACGGAUCCCAUAUCUGGCAUCUUCCAGUUAGUGCUUUGAAGCAGUUUUCCCUAUGAUGCAAUUUAUCAUCCAGACUAUGGGACAUUUAUGACUCCAUAAUUACAGGGAUAACAGGUAAGAACAUCUCAAGUCAAGCUGACUCAUCUUUAUGUCCACCCACACUGAGAAGACAUGAGCACUUUCCAUUUUAACUCUUUCCAAAGGACCGGGGAUAGAAGACACGAAGGAAGCCAGAGUCACCCUGUGAUCCUGGGAUGAGGACGCCAGUGAAAGACAUCCUAAAUAAGGUCCCGCUUACCACCUGUUUAGUUACUUUUCUACUGCUGUGGCAAAACAUCAUGACCAAAAGAAAGAAUAAAAGAAGCCGGGCGGUGGUGGUGCAGCAUGCCUUAGUGAUGGCACACACCUUCAGUCCCGGCACUCGGGAGGCAGAGGCUGGUGGAUCUCUGAGUUCAAGGCCAGCCUGGUCUACAAAGCAAGUUCCAGGACAGCCAGGGCUACACAGAGAAACCUUGACCCCACCCCCACCCCAACCAAUAAAUAAACCAAUAAAAUAAAUAAUUAUAGAUAAUGUGGUAGUUUGAAUGUAAUGUCACAGGGAGUGGCACUAUUAGGAGAUGUGGUUUUGUUGGAGUGGGUGUGGCCAUAUUGGAGGAAGUGCGUCACUGUGGGGCGGGCUUUGAGGUUUCCUACGCUCAGCAUUCUGCCCAGUGUCUUAGUUGACUUCCUGUUGCCUACAG
rnacentral:lncRNA from 1 species